GUUGUCAUGCCAAUGGCACUGCCCGGUAGCUAAAUGCGGAAGAGAUAAGUGCUGAAAGCAUCUAAGCACGAAACUUGCCCCGAGAUGAGUUCUCCCUGAGACUUAGAGUCUCCUGAAGGAACGUUGAAGACGACGACGUUGAUAGGCCGGGUGUGUAAGCGCAGCGAUGCGUUGAGCUAACCGGUACUAAUGAACCGUGAGGCUUAACCUUACAACGCCGAAG
rnacentral:rRNA from 2 species